rnacentral:ncRNA from 1 species
GAAAGGCCGCUGUCGUCUAUAUGCGGCUGGAUGCAUCAUACCGGCAUCCCAAUUAAG